rnacentral:rRNA from 1 species
UACGAAGGGGGCUAGCGUUGCUCGGAAUCACUGGGCGUAAAGGGUGCGUAGGCGGGUUUAUAAGUCAGUGGUGAAAGCCGAUCGCUUAACGAUCGAACUGCCAUUGAUACUGUAGACCUAGAGUAUAGAUGAUGUUGGCGGAAUAUGACAUGUAGCGGUGAAAUGCAUAGAUAUGUCAUAGAACACCGAUUGCGAAGGCAGCUGACAAAACUAUAACUGACGCUGAUGCACGAAAGUGCGGGGAUCAAACAGG